GAAAUUUCCCUUCUCCUGCUUUCUUCUUCGCGUGCGGCAGCCGGGACGAUUUUGACCAGGAGAGAGGCCGCGUGCUCCCCUCGCCUCCCCUCCUCCUGUGUCCAUCCUCUCGACGGCGGCCGGGGGCAGAUUCUCGAGUGGGCUUCACUUCUUCUUGUUCGCCGCCGGGAGAGAGACGGACUGCGCAGCCAUGGAUUUCCCACUGGAUCCGGUUAGCAGCCUGCCCAUAUACGAUGCGUCCCCGGCUGAGGCAGCACUGGGGAGUUUGCAAGGCAGGGAUUGCGUCAGUAGCAAUGCAGGCCCGGCGGCGGCGGGUGUGACCGACUGACCGUGCUGGGGGACCUCCUGGAGGGGACGAGUGUGGGCGAUCUUGCAAGCGGACUGGAUGGCGCGGAUGGCCCUGUGCCUGCAGAUUCCGCGGAGUCAACCGGACAGGGCAAUCCUCAGUCGCCUGGCUGGACGAAGAGGUCUGUGUCGGGCGUGCACCACCAGAUAAAACUCGCUGGGCGGAGCGGCAAAGCGCAUUGGAGAAAUCUGUCAGAUGUUUCGUAGAAAAGUCAUUGAUCCGGGUACAACUUUUGACUCGAUAGGCGAGGCAUAAGAUUUCUACAAUCUUUAUUCCUGGGAACAUGGAUUUGGGAUCAUGUAUGGAAAGAGCUGGUUAAAUAAUUUGGAGAAGACGAAAUGCAUGCAGGAUAUAGUCUGUGGGUGCUCGGGGAAGCCAACAGGCGAAAAUACUAGGUCUUGUCGUUGUGAAUGCCCUGCGAUGAUUCGGCUGUUGAGAUCUGCAGACAACGGUUGGUAUAUCGCUGAACAUCGGGUGAAUCACAACCAUGUGCUGACAAAAACGUGGGGUGAGACAACAUUCUGGCGUUUCCAAAAUGAUCCAGGGGGAACCGCAAUAUGCCUAUCUAUUUUUAGGGAAAGGUAUGAAUCAUGGGGGAGGCUAAUUUACUGAUUGUGCAACAGAAACGUAAUAUGCCUAUCUAUGCGCCGUAUCCAGCUGAGGCAACAGUGCUGAAUCUGCAAGGGGAGGACUCGGUCAGCAGAACGCUGGUCCGGUGGCGGCAGGUGUGGCCGUGCUUGGGAACCUGAUGGACAGGAAUGGUGUGGGCAAUGGAGCUGCAUGGCUGGCCUGGAGAGGUACCAUUGGCCGCUGAUUCCGCGGAAUCAACUCGGCAGGACAAUCAACAAACGCCGGGUUCUGAAUAAUUGUGUAGUUGUGUGGACCAUGUUCUGAAAUGUCAGGACAAUCCGCGUCCUAAUAUUUCCUUUUUGUGUGUCCGGCUGUAUCAUCGAAUCUGUGGGGAUGUGAGGGAAUGAUUUAGAUUUGAAAUAGUUUGGAUUCCUUAGCAAAUGUAAGUAAGGUGCCUGGGUUCCGUUACAGUUGACGAAGAACAUUGUGUGUGUCCACUCCUGUGAACACAAUAAGUAAUGAAAAUGUUAGCUCGUAACUAGGUGUGAAUGUAAAUUGUUCCGACAAAAAUUUGGUUUAUUUUGUAACAUCGAAAAACUGAAAAAUGUGAGAUGAAUUAGUUUG